rnacentral:lncRNA from 1 species
AACGAGAAUUUACGACAGCUUGAAGAGGUUAUGAAACAAUUUCCUACGUAUCUUAUCAGUCCUCUUAACUAUGAAAAUCAUACUUUUAAUGUUAUUAAGUAUUUAUUUGUUUAUGAUUUUCAACUUAAUUUUGAAUAUCCAACCGACUGCUAGCAGCCGGUUGGAUAUUGAAUAUCGAAUAUCGAAUAACGAACCGGCUGCUAACUUCACAUACAU